rnacentral:rRNA from 1 species
AGUGAACGCUGGCGGUAGGCCUAACACAUGCAAGUCGAACGGCAGCACAGUAAGAGCUUGCUCUUACGGGUGGCGAGUGGCGGACGGGUGAGGAAUACAUCGGAAUCUACUUUUUCGUGGGGGAUAACGUAGGGAAACUUACGCUAAUACAGCAUACGACCUACGGGUGAAAGCAGGGGAUCUUCGGACCUUGUGCGAUUGAAUGAGCCGAUGUCGGAUUAGCUAGUUGGCGGGGUAAAGGCCCACCAAGGCGACGAUCCGUAGCUGGUCUGAGAGGAUGGUCAGCCACACGGGAACUGAGACACGCUCCAGACUCCUACGGGAGGCCGCAGUGCGGAAUAUUGGACAAAGGGCGCAAGCCUGAUCCAGCCAUACCGCGUGGGUGAAGAAGGCCUUCGGGUUGUAAAGCCCUUUUGUUGGGAAAGAAAAGCAGCAGGUUAAUACCCCGCUGUUCUGACGGUACCCAAAGAAUAAGCACCGGCUAACUUCGUG